rnacentral:rRNA from 1 species
UGGGGAAUAUUGGACAAUGGGCGAAAGCCUGAUCCAGCCAUGCCGCGUGUGUGAAGAAGGUCUUCGGAUUGUAAAGCACUUUAAGUUGGGAGGAAGGGCUGCAAGUUAAUACCUUGUAGUUUUGACGUUACCAACAGAAUAAGCGCCGGCUAACUUCGUGCCAGCAGCCGCGGUAAUACGAAGGGUGCAAGCGUUAAUCGGAAUUACUGGGCGUAAAGCGCGCGUAGGUGGUUUGGUAAGAUGGAUGUGAAAUCCCCGGGCUCAACCUGGGAACUGCAUCCAUAACUGCCUGACUAGAGUACGGUAGAGGGUGGUGGAAUUUCCUGUGUAGCGGUGAAAUGCGUAGAUAUAGGAAGGAACACCAGUGGCGAAGGCGACCACCUGGACUGAUACUGACACUGAGGUGCGAAAGCGUGGGGAGCAAACA